rnacentral:rRNA from 1 species
CACUGUCACUCCUACGGGGAGGCAGCAGUGGGGAAUAUUGCACAAUGGGCGCAAGCCUGAUGCAGCCAUGCCGCGUGUAUGAAGAAGGCCUUCGGGUUGUAAAGUACUUUCAGUCGUGAGGAAGGCGGCGUCGUUAAUAGCGGCGUUGUUUGACGUUAGCGACAGAAGAAGCACCGGCUAACUCCGUGCCAGCAGCCGCGGUAAUACGGAGGGUGCGAGCGUUAAUCGGAAUUACUGGGCGUAAAGCGCAUGCAGGUGGUUUGUUAAGUCAGAUGUGAAAGACCCGGGGCUCAACCUCGGAAUAGCAUUUGAAACUAGGCAGACUAGAGUACUGUAGAGGGGGGUAGGAAUUUCAGGUGUAGCGGUGAAAUAGCGUAGAGAUCUGAAGGAAUACCGGUGGCGAAGGCGGCCCCCUCGGACAGAUACUGACACUCAGAUGCGAAAGCGUGGGGAGCAAACAGGAUUAGAUACCCUGGUAG